GAAAUGCGAUAAGUAAUGUGAAUUGCAGAAUUCAGUGAAUCAUCGAAUCUUUGAACGCACAUUGCGCCCCCUGGUAUUCCGGGGGGCAUGCCUGUUCGAGCGUCAUUUCACCACUCAAGCCUCGCUUGGUAUUGGGCAACGCGGUCCGCCGCGUGCCUCAAAUCGACCGGCUGGGUCUUCUGUCCCCUAAGCGUUGUGGAAACUAUUCGCUAAAGGGUGUUCGGGAGGCUACGCCGUAAAACAACCCCAUUUCUAAGGUUGACCUCGGAUCAGGUAGGGAUACCCGCUGAACUUAAGU
rnacentral:misc_RNA from 1 species